rnacentral:rRNA from 1 species
CAGUAACACGUGGAUAACCUGCCCUUGGNANNNGGAUAACCCCGGGAAACUGGGGAUAAUACCGGAUAACGCAUAUCUGCUGGAAUGCUUUAUGCGUAAAAUGGAUUUGUCUGCCCAAGGAUGGGUCUGCGGCCUAUCAGGUAGUAGUGGGUGUAAUGUACCUACUAGCCUACGACGGGUACGGGUUGUGAGAGCAAGAGCCCGGAGAUGGAUUCUGAGACAUGAAUCCAGGCCCUACGGGGCGCAGCAGGCGCGAAAACUUUACAAUGCGGGAAACCGUGAUAAGGGGACACCGAGUGCCAGCAUCAUAUGUUGGCUGUCCAGAUGUGUAAAAUACAUCUGUUAGCAAGGGCCGGGCGAGACCGGUGCCAGCCGCCGCGGUAACACCGGCGGCCCGAGUGGUGAUCGUGAUUAUUGGGUCUAAAGGGUCCGUAGCCGGUUUGGUCAGUCCUCCGGGAAAUCUGACGGCUCAACCGUUAGGCUUUCGGUGGAUACUGCCAGACUUGGAACCGGGAGAGGUAAGAGGUACUACAGGGGUAGGAGUGAAAUCUUGUAAUCCCUGUGAGACCACCUGUGGCGAAGGCGUCUUACCAGAACGGGUUCGACGGUGAGGGGCGAAAGCUGGGGGCACGAACCGGAUUAGAUACCCGGGUAGUCCCAGCCGUAAACGAUGCUCGCUAGGUGUCAGGCAUGGCGCGACCGUGUCUGGUGCCGCAGGGAAGCCGUGAAGCGAGCCACCUGGGAAGUACGGCCGCAAGGCUGAAACUUAA